rfam:Roseobacter sp. AzwK-3b 1103032000576, whole genome shotgun sequence.
AAUCAAGCGCGAGAAGGGCGUUUGGUGGAUGCCUUGGCAGUAAGAGGCGAUGAAGGACGUGAUACUCUGCGAUAAGCCAUGAGGAGCUGAGAAUAAGCUUUGAUCCAUGGAUUUCCGAAUGGGGCAACCCAUCUGACAGUUGAUUAUAAUUGCCUCUGGCGAUUUAUAAUUGGCUGAACCAGAUACUUAAAACCUGAAUACAUAGGGUUUUAAGAGCAAACCCGGAGAACUGAAACAUCUAAGUACCCGGAGGAAAGGACAGCAAUAGCUACUCCCCUAGUAGCGGCGAGCGAACGGGGACCAGCCGAGCCUUGAGAGUGACCAGAACAUGUUGGGAAGCAUGGCCAUAGCGGGUGACAGCCCCGUAUGGGAAGCUCGAUGGGACGUAUUAAGUAGGGCGGGACACGUGAAAUCCUGUCUGAAGAUCGGAGGACCACCUUCGAAGGCUAAGUACUCCUUACUGACCGAUAGCGAACCAGUACCGUGAGGGAAAGGUGAAAAGCACCCCGACGAGGGGAGUGAAACAGUACCUGAAACCGGACGCCUACAAUCAGUCGGAGCUUGACUGGACUCUAAUGACAAUCUGCUGCAUCACCGUGGUCAAACGGACCAUGAGAGUUGCGGCAUGUCGGAUCUAGCAUUCAUAACGGACGGCACCAUUGCGGUGGUCGGGCUUAUUGCCGGACUGAUCGACAUGGGGGUCAAUCAUUGUCCCAAUAAUGGAUGCUUGGCGCAGCGUGAGGUUCAAUCCUACACGAGUAUCUCGGUCGGCGACACGGUGUUCCAGGAACGCACGGUCGGCGAAGAGAUCUAUCUGCGCCGCGAGACGCGCCAUGCGAAUGGGCCGUUUCAACUUGUCUACGGAUUGUCCGCCACGUCGGAUGGUGAGCUUUGGGCCGGGAUCGGCCAUGCUUACACGCUGACGAACCGGCGCGAAAAUCUGUUUCUGCAAUUCCACGCGAUGGCGGGCCUUUACGAAGAGGGCAGCGGCGUCGAUCUUGGUGGCCCGAUCCAGUUCCGAUCGGGGCUCGAGGUUGGAUAUCAGAACAAGACGGGCGUGCGCAUGAGCGUCGGCGUCGACCACCGGUCGAACGCGGGGCUUUACAGCAACAACCCCGGUCUUGAGACGGUGCACUUCCGGGUCUCGAUCCCGACGAAGUGAGCAGAUCCGCGAUAUGAUGAUUGUCAUUAGUGUCCAGUCUUGUGACGGCGUACCUUUUGUAUAAUGGGUCAUCGACUUGGUCUAUCUAGCAAGCUUAAGCCGUUAGGUGUAGGCGCAGCGAAAGCGAGUCUGAAUAGGGCGAAUGAGUUAGAUGGAUCAGACCCGAAACCGAGUGAUCUAGGCAUGACCAGGCUGAAGGUAAGGUAACACUUACUGGAGGGCCGAACCCACACCUGUUGAAAAAGGUCGGGAUGAGUUGUGCCUAGGGGUGAAAGGCCAAUCAAACUCGGAGAUAGCUGGUUCUCUGCGAAAUCUAUUUAGGUAGAGCGUCAUCCGAAUACCCUCGGGGGUAGAGCACUGGAUGGGUAAUGGGGCCCCACAGGCUUACUGAUCCUAACCAAACUCCGAAUACCGAGGAGUACUAGAUGGCAGACACACUGCGGAUGCUAACGUCCGUAGUGAAGAGGGAAACAACCCUGACCUACAGCUAAGGCCCCUAAUUCGUGGCUAAGUGGGAAAGCAGGUGGGACGACCAAAACAACCAGGAGGUUGGCUUAGAAGCAGCCAUCCUUUAAAGAUAGCGUAACAGCUCACUGGUCUAAACAAGUUGUCCUGCGGCGAAGAUGUAACGGGGCUCAAGCCACGAGCCGAAGCUUAGGAUGCCGUAAGGCAUGGUAGCAGAGCGUAGUGUGACAUAGGUCCAUUCCUCCUUAGCGCCUUCGGGCGUGUUGGAGGAGAGGAGCUUUCGAUGAAGCGGGCGCGUGAGCGAUCCCGUGGAGAGAUCACUAGCGAGAAUGAUGACAUGAGUAGCGACAAACAGGGUGAGAGACCCUGUCGCCGAAAGUCCAAGGGUUCCUGCUUAAAGCUAAUCUGAGCAGGGUAAGCCGACCCCUAAGGCGAGGCCGAAAGGCGUAGUCGAUGGGAACCAGGUUAAUAUUCCUGGGCCAGAUGGAAGUGACGGAUCUCGAAGGUUGUUCGUUCUUAUCGGAUUGAACGGGCCGCUCAGAGGUUCCUGGAAAUAGCUCCAUCGCUAGAUCGUACCCUAAACCGACACAGGUGGACUGGUAGAGAAUACCAAGGCGCUUGAGAGAACGAUGUUGAAGGAACUCGGCAAAAUACCUCCGUAAGUUCGCGAGAAGGAGGCCCAGUUUCUACGCAAGUAUUGGCUGGGGGCACAAACCAGGGGGUGGCGACUGUUUACUAAAAACACAGGGCUCUGCGAAGUCGCAAGACGACGUAUAGGGUCUGACGCCUGCCCGGUGCCUGAAGGUUAAAAGGAGGGGUGAGAGCUCUGAAUUGAAGCCCAGGUAAACGGCGGCCGUAACUAUAACGGUCCUAAGGUAGCGAAAUUCCUUGUCGGGUAAGUUCCGACCUGCACGAAUGGCGUAACGACUUCCCCGCUGUCUCCAACAUCGACUCAGCGAAAUUGAAUUGCCUGUCAAGAUGCAGGCUUCCCGCGGUUAGACGGAAAGACCCCGUGCACCUUUACUACAGCUUCGCACUGGCAUCAGGAUUGUGAUGUGCAGGAUAGGUGGUAGGCUUUGAACCCGUGACGCUAGUCGCGGUGGAGCCUCCCUUGAGAUACCACCCUUCGCACUCUUGAUGUCUAACCGCGGUCCGUUAUCCGGAUCCGGGACCCUGCGUGGCGGGUAGUUUGACUGGGGCGGUCGCCUCCUAAAGCGUAACGGAGGCGCGCGAAGGUUGGCUCAGAGCGGUCGGAAAUCGCUCGUUGAGUGCAAUGGCAGAAGCCAGCCUGACUGCAAGACUGACAAGUCGAGCAGAGUCGAAAGACGGCCAUAGUGAUCCGGUGGUCCCGAGUGGAAGGGCCAUCGCUCAACGGAUAAAAGGUACGCCGGGGAUAACAGGCUGAUACUGCCCAAGAGUCCAUAUCGACGGCAGUGUUUGGCACCUCGAUGUCGGCUCAUCUCAUCCUGGGGCUGGAGCAGGUCCCAAGGGUAUGGCUGUUCGCCAUUUAAAGAGGUACGUGAGCUGGGUUUAGAACGUCGUGAGACAGUUCGGUCCCUAUCUGCCGUGGGUGUAGGAUACUUGAGAGGAGUUGCCCCUAGUACGAGAGGACCGGGGUGAACGAUCCACUGGUGGACCUGUUGUCGUGCCAACGGCAGUGCAGGGUAGCUAUGAUCGGACAGGAUAACCGCUGAAGGCAUCUAAGCGGGAAGCCCCCCUCAAAACAAGGUAUCCCCGAGGGCCGUGGUAGACCACCACGUCGAUAGGCCGGAGAUGUAAGCGCAGCAAUGCGUUCAGUUGACCGGUACUAAUUGCCCGAUAGGCUUGAUUUG